AGCAGCCGCGGUAAUUCCAGCUCCAAUAGCGUAUAUUAAAGUUGUUGCAGUUAAAAAGCUCGUAGUUGAAUUUCGAGAUCAAAUUGUUGGUCGUGCCUUGGUACGUACUGGCAUUAUUGGUUUCUCCCUUCUGACGAACCAAGAUGUCAUUAAUUUGGUGUCUUGGGGAAUCAGGACUGUUACUUUGAAAAAUUAGAGUGUUUAAAGCAGGCUCGCGCUUGAAUACAUUAGCAUGGAAUAAUGAAAUAGGACGUUUGAUUCUAUUUUGUGGUUUCUAGGAUCGACGUAAUGAUUAAUAGGGAUAGUUGGGGGCAUUAGUAUUCAAUUGUCAGAGGUGAAAUUCUUGGAUUUAUUGAAGACUAACUACUGCGAAAGCAUUUGCCAAGGAUGUUUUCAUUAAUACAAGAACGAA
rnacentral:rRNA from 1 species